GGUGGACUUCUUUCAACCAAGAACAGGGUUGUAUCUGAAUGGAAGAAAUUGUUUGAUAGGUUGGGCUCAAUGUUAGGAAGCGAUCCCCAUCUAAAAGAUUGCAACCGAGUUUUAUCUGAAGGGUAUUAUGAUCUUCCUCACCAUCUCAAAUCAUGUCUUCUGUACUUUGGCUUAUUUCCAGAGAGCUGCAAAAUCAACUGUGCUAGACUCAUCCGUUUGUGGAUAGCUGAGGGCUUUGUCCAGUACAGCAAACGCCCCACAUCUGAACAGGUUGCAGAAGAAUACUUGAAUGAGCUCGUUGACAGAAGCUUGGUUCAAGUUUCAGAGAGAGAUAUUUCUGGACGAGCUAGAAUCUGCCAAGUUCAUGAUCUUAUGCACGAGAUCAUCAUCAGAAAAACUGAAGAAUUCGGCUUUGGUCGUGUGCUGAACGGAGAGGACUUGAGUCGCUGCAGUAAAACUCGACGCAUUACUAUGCAGAGAAGUAUUGAUGAUGGUGCUUUCUUGUGCGCUACUUCCUCCUAUCUCCAUUGCCUUUCGCUUACUCCACCCCUCUUCUUGCUAUCGACAGAAGCUUUAAGUAUUGCCAAUUUCAAGCUCAUGAAAGUGUUGAUGCGAGAUUCCUGUUCUCCUCGUUCCACGACCAGGAUCUCUGCUCGAUCAACUUCACCAAGACCAGGAGGUCUCCUAGUAAUGCUUCUUCUCCAGAUGUCCCUGCACAAACAGAUAAGUCAGAGCACGCCGGUUGUUCCCCCGGCGCAAACCCUCCGACGCUCAAGUCAGAAAUGAAGGUUCAGGGAACGCUUGCCACAGGUCUUAGGGCUUUUUCGUGGUUUUUUUCUCUAUCUCAAAAAUGCCAACCCUUUUACCUUCGUUGGAUGCCUUUUUUUAUAGGCUUCCUCUGAAUCUCCGUCUUUCUCUCUUUCUUCCACGGUAUGGGACCUCAACUGCCGCGUUAUGGGCAAACGUGGGAUCUAGCGUGUUACGCCACGGUUCAGGGGAAAGCGUGGCUGUCAUGGCUCUGUGAGACUUUGCGUGUUACGCCACGGUUCUGGGGAAAGCGUGGCUGUCAUGGUUCUGUGAGAUCUUGCGUGUUACGCCACGGUUCUGGGGGAAGCGUGUCUGUUGUGCCUAGAUUCUCGUGCUGGGGAGCACGUCCUGCCAACUGCCGUCGACCGGGUCUCCUCGCCUCUUGACCUCUAGCCGGAAUGGCCUUAUGCCUUUUAUAGGGAAUUGGCCUUGCGGAUGACAACAUCGUGGACGAGCAGGAUAUCUCUGCUCCUGUUCUUCCGCGCACCAGGCUUUUACGGAACACCCCGGUUCGCAGAACUCCGCCACCAGAUAUCUGCUCGUCAUUCCUGGUCUCGUCGACGUAUUUAUCCCAAACAGUAUCUCUCCCAAACAGAAAGUACUAGAUCUGGAAGAUGCUCCUGUAGAUUACCUUCCUGAAGGAGUGGGGAACUUAUUCAAUUUGCACUACUUGAGUGUGAAAAAUACAAAAGUAAAAAUAAUUCCCAAGUCCAUUGGAAAUCUUCUCGGUUUAGAAACUUUGGAUCUGAAAAAUACUUUGGUGCGAGAACUUCCAGUAGAGAUCAGGAAUCUUAAAAGGUUGCGUUAUCUAAUGGUGUAUCAGUACAAUUAUACCGCAGGUUUUGCAGCAGCGAAAUUACACGAGGGCUUUGGGUCUCUAACGAAUCUGCAGAAGUUGUGUAUUAUAGAAGCUGACUCUGAAGCGCUCAAAGAGCUUAUGAAGCUAAGGCAGUUAAGAAAGUUGAGCAUUAGGACUUUAAAAACUUUAGAGAAUGUCGGAGAGCUCUGAAACCCUGAAACCUUACGAAAACCCUAGUUUACUGAAAACAAUUCCACCGCCGUUAGCCGCAGAUCGUUCAACCAAAAAGGCUAGAUUUCGCAGCCAUGAAGUAGACGCAGAUAGUCCAAGCCCCCUCUCCUUCAAGGAUGCGCUUGUGCACCCAGAACAAUACAGAAGCUCUGAAGAUGCUGAGAUGGAAGAAGAAUGGGACCUGGAACCUGGAGAUGUCACCAUAGGAGAUGAUGGCACCAUGCCCACUAUCAAAUUCUCAAAACGAAUCCAAGAUAAAUUGAUUAAACCUUGGCAGAACUCUGUAGUGGUUAAGCUGCUGGGGAGAAACAUUGGGUAUAAAGUUUUGUGUAAUAGGUUGAAAGUUAUGUGGCAUCAGAUUCAUGACUUUUCGGUGAUUGAUCUUGAAAACAACUACUUUCUAAUUCGCCUUAAAUCACCAGAGGAUGCUGUAUAUGCAUUAACCGAAGGGCCAUGGGUUAUCUUUGGGCAUUAUUUAACAGUGCAGCCGUGGACACCUCAGUUUGACAGCACCACUACUGAUCUUGACUCUGCCAUUGUUUGGAUUAGGUUACCCGGCAUGGCUUUUCACUUAUAUGAUAAGAGGAUUUUGCGGAAGAUUGGUCAACUUGUGGGGAACGUUAUCAAGAUCGACUACCAUACUGCAUUGCGGGAGAGGGGAAAGUUUGCAAGAAUUGCAGUCCGCAUCUCUCUUUCUCAGCCUCUGCUAUCUCGUUUUAACAUUGAUGGGAAGAUACAGAAGGUUGAGUACGAAGGGUUGCCUAUCAUAUGUUAUCAAUGCGGAAAGUAUGGGCAUAAUAGUAUCGUCUGUCAAAGCAAGCAAAAAAUGAAUGAGGCCAAUAAUGGUUAUUCUGAGAACAUUAUACCAACUAAUUCGGCAGGGGAAAAAGAUGGUGCUGUCGACAUGACUACUGAAAAAAGUGAAAAGUUUGGACCAUGGAUGAUUGUGGCACGUAAAGGAAAACCCAAGUUCGUAGUGGAAAAGGAGAACACUACUGCUGCAGAGAGGAACCAGCGAAGUAAUAUACCAGUUACAUCUCGGUUUGAUGCCUUAGCCGAGGAUUUGAACACAAACAAUAUGGUGGAGAUUGCUGGAACUACCCCCAACCUUGAACCCUUACAACGACAACCUAAAUCCAUUACCGAUCACUUCCAUAAUCGGAAGAACCUGCCCCUGAAAAACCCUAACACUCUUAAACCUCAGAACCAACUCUCCAAAGGAAAACAAGUGGCUAAAUCACAGCACUCAGUAUUGAAACAAAAGUCUAUCACAGCCUCCACAUCCAUGCAUGCAAGCAUACGUCCCACCAACACAAGAAUCCUACCAUCCAGUUCAAAUGUCCCCAAUCCGAACCCUUCAAGCAUUCUACCUAGCCUCCCCCGAGAACCUAACUCCACGCUUGCAUUCACAACACUAGACCCCCAAAAUCAUACUGCUAUAACCUUUCCCAGAAAAACCAAUGAAACCGUAGGCAUCCCACCAGGUUUCCCAAGAAAACCAACAUCAGCCAAAUCUGAUCAGCAACCCCAUUCAACACAACCAAAUGAGUCUUCCGAAGCCAAGGAUGAAGGGGAUAGAAAAGCAGUGGAGGGACAUGCUGGUGAUCCGCAGUCUACAUUCGGUACUAAUGCGGAUGCCACCAUGUCUGAUGAUGACAAUUCCUUUGUCAAUGAAACCCCGGAAGUGUAUGGCGAAGCAGAGCUGGAGCUUUGUGCGUAACCCUCUCAUGCUCACCUUCCCUUUUAUAUGCGGUUUAUGACGAUAUCAGUAUUAUUCUGGAAUGUUCAAGGGGCGGGUUCCCCAUCCUUUCGAAGAAUUUUUGCUACAUUAGUUAAAAGCUAUAACCCUACAAUUGUUGUAAUCCUCGAGCCAAGAAUCAGCGGUAAGAAAGCAGAUGAUUUCAUCCGAAAAAGUGGCUUUGAUCGCUCUCAUCGUGUGGAGGCUACUGGUUUUUCCGGUGGUAUUUGGUUAUUGUGGAGGAAUUUUUUCGACGUCGAAAUCGCUUUCAAUCACUCUCAGUUUAUUCACCUAAAAAUCAGCGUCCAUAAUGUCAUCCAAUCUUGGGUCACUGCAGUCUAUGCGAGCCCAAAUUCAGCUGGACGUCGUGCCCUGUGGUAUCAUUUGAGUAACAUUGCGAAGUCGAUGCAUGAUCCUUGGAUUAUGGGGGGUGAUUUCAAUUCAAUCUUAUAUGCCGCGGAGAAACGUGGGGGCUCGGCGCUAAGCACUGGUAUUUGUCCCAUCUUUAAUUCAUGGUUUCAUGCUAAUAAUAUUGUUGACUUGCAGUUCAGUGGACCUAGAUACACAUGGACUCGCGGGAACCUUUCGAAGAGGUUGGACCGUGCUAUGAGUAAUCAGGAGUGGAUACUAAAAUUUGAUAACUAUUCGGUUACUCAUUUACCACGAGUUGAAUCUGACCACAGGCCGAUAUUGGUCCGUUUUGAACGUCAGUUUGGCUGUCUGGGGAGUGCUAAACCCUUUCGUUUCUUAGCGGCUUGGAUGACUGAUCACCGAUUUGGUGACUUUAUGCGGGAUAGUUGGCACAAGAAUCUUCCUUACUCGCAAGCAGCUUCUACUUUUACAAGUAAGGUGGUUAGUUGGAAUAGAGAGAUUUUUGGCAACAUAUUCAAACGAAAAAAGCAGCUGCUAGCUCGUAUUGGCGGGGUUCAAAAGGCCUUAGAGAAUAAACCCACUCGCAGUUUGUAUCGACUUGAAGCAAAGCUAAGACAGAAGUUGGAAGAAACUUUAUCCCAAGAGGAAUUAGUGUGGUUCCAGAAAUCCCGCAAAGAUUGGAUUAGUUAUGGAGAUCGAAACACCUCUUUCUUUCAACAGAAAACUAUUACACGGAGGGCUAGAAACCGAAUCAAUGCUAUUAAGAAUGAUAGAGAUAUUUGGCUGUACGACAAUAAUGACAUUAAGUCCCAUGCUGUGUCUUUUUUCUCCACUUUAUACAAGUCCGAUCAAGAACUCCAUCGCCCGUAUACUGUGCAAGGGUAUUUUCCUAGCAUUGAUCAAAAUAGGAUGUCAAUUCUUGAUAACUCGAUUGACAACGAGGAAAUUCGUCAGGCACUAUUCCAGAUGAGACCAUUCAAGGCACCUGGAAUUGAUGGUUUCCCUGCCGGUUUUUAUCAAACCCAGUGGCAAGUAGUUGGUGAUUCUUUCUGUUCCGGAAUAAAGGAUAUUUUCAAAUCCCACAAUGUCCCUAGUGAAAUUACUAAAACCCUUCUUGUUCUCAUCCCAAAGUCCGAGCAUCCUACUUCUUUUAAGAUGUAUCGCCCUAUCAGCCUUUGCACCGUAUUCUAUAAAACAGUGACUAAGAUUAUCGUCAACAGAUUGCAAGCCAUACUCCCUGACCUAAUUGGCCCUCAUCAGACAAGUUUUGUCCCUGGCCGUCACAUCACAGAAAACAUUAUCAUUGCUCAGGAAGUGAUCCAUUCCAUGCGACGCAAAAUGGGCAAAAAAGGGUUCAUGGCUAUCAAGGUUGACUUGGAAAAAGCUUAUGAUAGAUUGAGCUGGAAUUUUAUUUAUGAAACAUUAACGGAGUUAGCCUUGCCUAUUGGUCUUAUUCAAUUAAUAAUGGAGUGCAUUACUUCUGUUAGUAUGAAUAUCUUAUGGCAUGGUGAAUUAACGGAUGAUUUCUCUCCCAGUAGAGGGGUACGACAAGGUGAUCCUUUGUCACCAUAUAUUUUUGUCUCUGUAUUGAAAGAUUGAGUCAUGGGAUUUAUCAAUCAAUUCAUCAAGACCAUUGGAAGCCUAUCCGCUUAUCUAGGCUGGGUACCCCCUUAAGCCAUCUUUUUUUCGCGGAUGAUCUUCUCCUUUUUGCCGAAGCUACCAAUGGGCAAGCACAGUGCAUUAAUUCAGUCUUAGGAGAUUUUUGCUUGAGCUCGGGCGCAAAGGUUAGUCAAUCUAAGACACAUGUUUAUUUCUCUAAAAAUAUCCCAGAUGUUGUUGCCGCGAGAAUAGGGCGAGCUUUGGGGUAUACAGUAACGAAGGACUUGGGUAAGUAUUUGGGCAUGCCUUUGCUACAUAGUCGUGUCUCACAGCAAACAUAUCAAGGGAUUUUAGAUAAGACGGACCAAAAGCUUUCUGGUUGGGCAGCCUCUCAGCUUUCUCUUGCCGGGCGUAUCACUCUUACCCAAUCUGUCCUUCAAGCAGUCCCUAUCUAUGCUAUGCAAACUACCAAUUUACCGGGUAGUAUUAAGACUAAGCUUGAUCAAAUUUGUAGACGAUUUUUGUGGAGUGGAAAUGAUGAAUUACGGAAAAUGAGCCUAGUUAGUUGGCAUAACAUUUGUCAACCAAAAAUGGCAGGCGGUCUCGGGUUCAAAAGGUUGAAUGUCAUGAAUGAAGCACUGCUUUUGAAGAUUGCUUGGCAUUUAAUCACUGAGCCUGACAAACUGUGUGUCUAGGUGCUUUCCACAAAAUAUGGAGUUCCUCCAUCGGAAAUCCCUCAUACUUUACCUACUCGGUACGGAUCGCAUUUAUGGAAAUCUGUUGGUCGAGUUUGGGAUUAUGCUAGGCUCGGGAUUCGCUGGAAUAUUGGUAAUGGGUUGAAAGUUAAAUUUUGGUGGGACUGUUGGGCAACGGCAUCUCUCACUCUUGCGGAUUUAGCCAUACAACCGAUAACUCCUGACCUUUCUGAUCUGUAUGUUGCAGACUUUGUUUCCACAGAUGGGUCCUGGAAUUGGCCAAAGUUUAGUCACAUCUUACCCCAUCAGGCAAUAAUGAUAAUUGCCUCAAUCCACCCCCCGUCAGCUUGCAAUGGUGUGGAUCACGUUUAUUGGGCAGCAUCACCUCAAGGAGACUUUACGGUGAAAUCAGCAUAUGAUUUGUUAGAUCAAUCUCGUGUGCAGGAAAGGGACUCUUACUGGAAGAUAGCCUGGUCAUGGAAGGGCCCGCAGAGUAUCAAGAUUUUUAUUUGGCUGGUGUUGCACAAUAGAUUAAAGACUCGGGCAGAACUAGCAACACGACGCUUGAACAUUGAACCAUCUUGUGAAAGGUGUGGGGCUGGUUUAGAGAAUACAAUUCAUGUGCUCCGUGACUGUCCCUAUUCGAAAGCUGUUUGGCUACGUCUUCUCCGAGGGAACAAUCACCAAUAUUUCUUCCAGUCUAAUCUUGCCGACUGGAUGUCUGCGAACUUGCAAGUCCAGAGCACUUCAGUAGGUAAUAAACUUUGGCGAGUCAUCUUUGGUGUUGCCAUUUGGCGGCUCUGGUUUUGGAGAAAUCGAUUUAUUUUCACCAAAGAUCACUGGGAGAGUAGUGCUAUAGCAUUAGAUAUAAAAGUACGGGCAGCUGAAAUUCAACGAUGCAAUUCUUCCCUUACUGCCACUGUCAAGAGCCGUGUCGAAAAAUGGAUUCGCUGGGGUGCUCCUACCUGGCCUUGGGUCAAGUUGAACACUGACGGUGCCAAGAAGCCUUCAGGCCAUGCAGGAGCUGGCGGUCUCAUUCGUGAUUACAGAGGAGUUUGGCAGAUCAGUUAUUGUGCUAACUUAGGUUGUUGCUCAGUAACAUCUGCUGAGUUGUGGGGUUUAUUUCAUGGGUUAUCCAUAGCUUGGCUUCAUGGUUAUCGUAGGGUGAUAGUGGAAGUGGACAGCAGGUGCAUCUUGCAGCUAGUCUCUAAUUCGAACCCCACCAUCAAUGAGCAUCUUUCUCUAAUCACAGCCAUCCAAGAGCUAAUCGGACGAGAUUGGUUGAUUCAAAUGAAUCAUAUUUAUCGAGAAGCAAAUGCAGCAGCAGACUUUCUUGCUACCUAUAGUUUAGUUUUUCCUGUGGGUCUGCAUUAUUUUCAGUCCCCUCCUUUAAAUUUGCUUACCAUUUUAAACAAUGAUGUUUCUGGGGUUGCACACUCCCGUUUAGUGUUGCUUUAGCUCUGUUCAGAGCCCUUUAUUAAUAAAAAAAAAAAAAAAAAGUUGAGCAUUAGGCCCCCAAAUGGAAAUGGCAAGGAUCUGUGUGGUUUGAUUGCAAAUUUCGAAAACCUAGAGAAUUUAGCAGUAAUCAUGAAAAGCAAAGAAGAAGUACUUGCCUUGCAAUCUUUGAGUAAUCCUCCUCAAUAUCUGCAGCGUCUCUACUUGAAAGGGAAUAUGAACAAACUGCCGGAUUGGAUUUUUAAACUAAAAAAUGUAAUCAGAUUGGGUUUGGACUUGUCGGGAUUGACUGAGGAGCCAAUCAGAGUCCUUCAAGCCUUGCCUAAUUUAUUGGAUCUUUUACUCAUAGGGACAUACAACUACGAGCUUUUUCACUUUGAAGCAGGUUGGUUUCCAAAACUCCAAAUAUUGAAUCUCUUUGACUUCGUCGCUGUGAAAUCGGUUAUAAUAGAGAAAGGUGCGAUGCCUGAUAUUAGAGAAAUGUGGAUUGGGCCUUGCCCAUUGUUGAUGGAGAUUCCUAUUGGAAUUGAACAUCUUAAAAACCUUAAGCUACUCAGAUUUGCUCGUAUGGUUAAACAAGUUUAUUACAUGACAAAAGACGAGAACUGGGGGAAGGUUACUGAGCAUAUACCAGAUGUCCUUGUCACUUUUGUGAAAGCCGAGAAAUUGUUUUAUUAUCGAAAAGAGGAUCUCUCAUCUCUGUCUCCUGAAUAUGUCGAGCAAAUCUGCUGAAGAAGAGGACUCGAGUCCGGAGCAGUCAUGCACAUCUAUGAAAUAAGUAAACAGGUCUGCCACUCUCCUGCGUAUUUGGAUUAUUUUCUAAUUACUUUUAAGAAAAAAUAUUUUCUCAUUUUUAAUUUGACAGACAAUUUAAUUAUAUAUAAUUCAAAUAAAAAUUCACCAAGAAAAUUCCUUUUUCCCUGUAAUUUGAGUACGUUUAAUAAAUAAAUAAACAAAUGCAGUAGGUCAGUAAAUCUUUUUCUAGUCAAAUAUAUAGUUAGAAUCAUAUAAUGAUUAGGUAUUAAUGUUAGUAUAGUAAUUUCCGUUAUAUUUUUUGUUACCAUGAACAGAUGGAGUAUAUAUAUCUUCCUUCUAGCGAAUUCAUUGAUGAGUUCAUCAAACCUAUACUGGAUCAGAUUGUGGCGGUAAUGCUGCUAUUGAUAUGCUUUGAGUUUCGGUAAUUAUUAUCAGUGUUAAUUAAUAUCUAAGACUGAGAUUAUGAUUUUAGAAAUGUUGUAUUACUAUUGUAAGGAAUUGUCAUCAUAUAAUAUUCAGUGUUUAAUAAUAAAAACUGUGUGCCAAUGUGGUUACCAUUGGUAUAUGGUUAAUUUGUGUGGAAUGAUGCAUUUGCCUUAAUUGUAGUCUGUAGCUUAUUGUUUUCACAUAACAAUUUAGCAAAAAUUUGUAUCACAUGCAUUUCCAUAUUGUCAAGUUUAAUUUACUCUUCAUUUGCAUAAUUGUGCUUAUUAUUUUGUGACAUCUAUCUGAAUUAGUCUGCAACUUUCAUUGAAUUUAUUUAUUUUAUUUUAUUUAAGAAGUAUGUGAAACCAUUAUUCUAAAAAUUAAAUGCAUAUUUAAGAUUGCGGUUAAUGAAUUUUCAAACAAUCACUUAUUUAAAAAAAAAAAUUACUCAAUCAUAUUUGAGUUGACAAUUUAUUUUAAGUAAACAUAUAUAAUUUUUGAACUAGAUACACUCACAAUCAUCAAAUAAUUGAUUUUCAAAUAUAAUUUGAGAAUAAAAUCCAUGUGGAUUGCAGCAGAGAAAGUCUAUAAUUGGGUUCUGGGACUGGGGAAUUAAACUUACUAAGCCAUGCUACUAUUCUUGGGGAAAAAAUAGUGGCAAUACCGCAGUAGUUAGGGUUAAAAGGUAAAGAAUACAAAGAAACUAUAUAAAAAAAGCAUAGGUCACUCUAAAUUUACAAUCAAAUAAAAGAGAAAUUUUAUUUAAAAAAAAAAAAAAGUAUUGGUGACUCUAAAGUUAGAAAAUUACAGAUGAUUGCGAUUGAAUUAGUAAUUUUGCUUUUGAAAUUGCUUUAAGUUGCUCAAUAAAUGGUCCUGCGGAGGCUCACUCCUUAUAAUCUAUAUGUUAGAUCAAAGUGUUUGUUUUUGCGUGAAUCAAAGAGAAAGAUUGCUAGAAAUUUCUUUUUCUUUAUUUUUUCAUGUCAUAAAUACACGAGAGCCGAAACAAUGUUGAGUCUCUUCACAAUAAAAACAAUUUUUAUACAUCUUUUCCUUCAACUUUAUGAUAUUCAAUGGACAUAGUCCUUAUUAUAGUCCUAACCUGCCCCUUUAUUAAUUAUUAGUCAAGAAAAUUGUGGGCCUUAAAUGAUAAGAUGCUUACUUUUUAACUCCAUUAUAUCACAAUUGUACAGAAACGCACCCAAUGCAUGCACCACACCUGUCCUGCAUAUGGAGAAAAAGCAUGCAAUUGUUUUUGUUUGGUAGCUAGCUAACCAAUCAGGAGCUGGCUAAGUUGGAUCUGUAUGUUACAGAAUCCGUAACUUAGCCAGCUCCCAAUUGUAUAUUGUCCGACUUAAAACAUGAUUAUUAAAACAGAUUUAAGUAAAUUUUAAAAAAGGCCAUUAAAAGAAAUUGUAACCGCUGCUCAUCAAUAAAAACCCAUCUUGGUUGGAAGAAUUUCAGAAAAAAUACAGAUGGUAUUUGAUUUGAAUUUGAAAAGGAAACUUAAUUAAGGAAACUAACAAAUAAGAAAACACAAAUCCUUACGUAAACAAAUGAAAAAACAAAAACACAAACGACCACACAUACAUGGGCCGGGCCGGGCCGUGCCGUUCCCUUGGACAUGACAACACGACCCUCCAAUAAUUUCAAUCUCUUUAUCAUUGUUCCCAAAACAUCGUUCCAAACUUUUCCUGCAUUAAAAGUCAUGAAGAUAAUUUAUUAAUUUGAUCAAACAGUAAGGUUAAUUAUGUCAUUGUAUAUUUGUGGGUCAAGUGAAGUGAAGCAUUUUCUUCUAUAUUGAUCAUUUCCCAUGCAAACGUACAGCAAACUUUUCAGCACUUUAAUCUCACCGUUGAGUGUUAAAACUCCCUCUGUAUUCAACACACCGACCCUUCAAUCUUGUGUCAAUAUUACAGUUUACAGGCCACAUAAUUUAUUUGAUUAUGUUACAAAGACUUACAAAUUGUUCGUUAUAAUUUUCAAUUUUUUUUUUGAGAGAAUAUGAUUUUCAACUUAUUUGUUACACUUUUUAAUUUUGUAAUUUGCAUUAUAAAACACAAAUUCGUAAAUCUAACAAGAAAAAUUGAGAAAUGCAACAAAAAAUGUUAAGACUAUUUGCAAAAAUUUGUUACUAAUAAAAAAAAAUUGUUACGAACAUACAAUAGUUAUGAGAUAUCAUUUUUCUUAGUUUCUUUUUUUAAUUUUUUUAAAGUAUGAGAUGAAAUGUAUAUUUGUGUUAAACUCCCUCUGUAUGCAGUGGCGGAUCUAGAAAAAUAAUUUACCGGGGGCUGAAUUAAAUAACAACAAAAUGUAAAAACUGAAAUUUGAAUAUAUAAAUUUUUUUAUAACACAUUUACAAUUGUUCUCUAUGCGAUUUUAUAUUAUGAAAACGUUGUGCAAUUGACUUAUUAUCAACAUUAUUAAAUACAUAUUUUUCUACAUAAACAAUAAAAUUAUUAUUCAUCCAUUCAUCUCUCAUUCGAUUCUGAAGUUCAUUCUUCACAAAUUUCAUUGCUGAAAAUGUUCUCUUUAUUGUGGUUAUAAAAACUGAAAGAACUUUAUUGUGGUUAUAGAAACUGAAAGAACGGAACUUUUUGAUAGUUUGAUAGAGAUUAUUUAAAAAUUUAUUAAUUUUUCUUUUAAACAAAAAAGGUUUUUUUUUUUUCAGUGGGGGCUCAAGCCCCCACUAGUCCUACACUACAUCCGCCCCUGUCUGUAUUCAAACGUAUGGCUGUUGGAGAAGAAGAGAAAAGAGAAAUGAGUUUUACAGAAAAAGAUGAAGAAGAAGAUAAAUGGACAAUGCAUUAUUCAUCAAUGCAUCAAAGACUGUUGGUGGGUAAAAGAGAUUUCUCGUUUUAUUUUGUUUUAUCGCAGAAAUUUGGCUCUGCUUCUAACAUCUGGGCUUCUUCUCUUAAUUCUUAUGGUAAUUCAUUCAUUUCUCUAAUCUCUUUCUCUUCUCUUACAUCUUUUUUUUCUUUAAAUUUUCAUUUUACCAUAUGAUGUGGCAAAAAUUACCUUGUUUAUAGAUCUUUAUCCUCAAUUUGAUGUUAAAUUGUCACUUAAUUUGAUGUGUAACUGUAAAGAAAUGAUCAAUUUUACAGGAAAAUAGUAAAAUAACCAGAAAAACCAGGAAAACAUAUUAUUAAUGCCUCUUUUUUUUUAAUAAUUGGAUUUCAUAUGAUGGGAGGCCAAAAUGACCCUGUUUACAAAUUUUUAUCUUCAAUUUGAACUGUUUUACUUCAAAACUGGAACUAUUAAAUAAGAGUCGGAAUUAGUACAAAAGUUAAAUAUAACAGCUCGGUCUUCUUUAUAAGGUGGACAUCAUUUCAAAGUUACAUGUAUUUAGGGGCGAAGCUACUUUUUUCAAGCUGGUGGUUAGACUAAUUUUUUUAAGUUAAAAAAAAAAAAGAAUCUUGAAGUAAAGCUAUUGAAUUAAACCAUAACAAUAAGUUCACAUUUUUUAGGUUUUAAAAAUAUUUUGUGAAUUAUGUUUAUUUAAAAAUAAAAAUUGUCAAACUUCAAAAUUGUGACUACAAUACUCCAUGAGUGCCAUACUCAACUGUGACUACAAUACUCCAUGAGUGCCAUACUUCACAACUUGGCUUUUUUAUAAUUAGUUUACUUGAGACCAAAAAUAGAUUUCUAAAAUGAGAUGGAGUGGGGAAGAAGUUGGGAAAAAUGACCGUGAGCUUGAACGAUAAACUUGUAAAUUAGGUUGUGGUGUUUUGUUAAAAAUAACAGUGGUAGCUAGUUCUAUAAAUUCUGCAUGGUAAUUUUGUGAACAACAUAGAAAAAAAAUAAAAAACUAAAUUAUUAUUAUUAUUAUUAUUAUUAUUAUUAUUUUGUUGGCGUAUCUUGCUUAUUUCGAAGUGAACAUAAAUUGUAUAUUUGGAUGGACUAGAAAUUGUGAUUCAUAAAUUCAAGGAGGCACGGUCAAACUUGGACACCCUAAAGAAGCUAGGAGCAUCCAUUCUCCAUGGAGUUGAUGCAACUGAAAUGAAGGAACAUCCUCAAUUUAGCAAGCGGAAGUUCGAUAGAAUAAUCUUCAAGACUUCAACUUUCCCAUUGCCUGCUUUCAUGGAAAGGAAGAAGAUGACGAAGUUAUUCGUGAGCUGCCUGGUGAGUCCAUUGGACAUAUGUGUCAAUAUAUGUUAGGAAAUUGAUGGGUGACGUAGGACCGCAACUAAAAUAAAAUUGGAAGAAAAUAAAGAACAAGCACAAAGUGGAUACCAAGAAAUUACGUGGUUCGGCUUUUAGCCUACGUCCAUGGGCGAAGACAGAAGGAAAAUAUUAUAUUAGUGAUAUGAGGAUUACAAGUAUUGUAAUCUUUUGGCUCACUACCCAGAACUCCAAUAUACCCAAUCUCUCACUCACUAAUUACACUAGAGUAAUAAAUAUUGAAAACAAAUGCUUAUAAAGAUAAACUUAUUUUUCUCUCUUUUAUAAGUUCUCAGAUGCACUCAAAAUGGAUGCAAAACUCAUUUACAUGACUCCCUUUAUAUAGCCAAUUGUUGGCUAACAAAUUCCAUAAGUUAAGUUUGACAGCCACCUAACUCAACCAUCUCCAUUUCAUUUUGUCCAUGGUCGGCAAUCACCAAAUCAAAAUGUCAAUGUCGGCACCCAUUUUUCUUCAUUUUCUUUCCUUUUUUCUUCUUCCUCUUUUGUCUUCUUUCUUCUUUUCUUUGCUUUUUGGUGGAUCCUUGACAAUAUAGUGCAGUUAAAAAUGGUUAUAAUACGAGGGAACUUGACAUAUAAAGUGAUCCAUAUUUCUUAAUAAUUCAAGAUGCAUGUAGUGUUCAGGAGUUUGCAGUGAUAUUUCCACUUCACCAAUUCUUAAAGUGAAAAUUAAUGAUUGGAUGCUGAGAAAAUGAAAGAAACUUUAAGAAUCUUGAAAGAGAAUUAAAACUAGAUCUGAGAAGUUUCUAGUUAAUCACAUUUCAUUCAACAUGCACAAAAUGUGCUCAAGUCUGGUAUUUAUACAGAGCAAAUGCACGGACUAGAAUAUUCUAACUGACUACAAUUUAACUAUUGACUAUAACUAAUUAUAACAAACUAAUUAGCGCAUGCUUUAGCUACUAUAUAACUAUCGAAUGCCAGCUGGCUUCCACAUCAUCAUAUAUGUACACUGCACGUACUGGAAUCCUCUGCUUUGCUGAUCAUGCUGCUUACAUGAGCUUCCUUAAUACUUAAAAAGUUGGCUCCUACACUAGUUCCAUGAUCUUUCUUCUGGUAAUUAUCACAGAAUGAAUAUGAGCCUUGUGGAAGGUUUCUUAAGAAAUGCAAGUAGUAUGUUAAGGCCUGAUGGUGAAAUUCAUGUAAGCCACAAAACAACAGCUCCAUUUUGCAAAUGGCAUAUCGAGGAACUCGCUAGCAAACACUCUUUGUCAAGACUGGACUGUGUCCAAUUUAGAAAAAAAGACGACCCAGGUCACAACAACAAGAAAGGAGCUGGUUCGCAAUGCGAUGACUAUUUUCCCUUGGGAUAGUGCAGUACCUUCAAAUUUGGAUUCUAUCGUGCUCUCAAGAGGUCUAAAUGAAUGAGUUAUGGUGGAUUUGCUAUCAAAAGACCUAAGGCUGUUCAAGAGAUUCCAAUCGAAGCGCCCAAGCUUGAAACGGAUCCAUUUGACUGGAGAUAUACUAAUGCAAGGUCAGCUACUGAUAUGAAUGAAUUUCCAUUGCGUGUGAAGUUUUGAUAGUAGCUGGUUGGGUUACUCUGUUCCAAGCUUUACCAGAAAUAUGACUGAUGGUCCAGGAUAUUAGAGACAAGCUUUGAUGAGUAAUGCCACGUUCCAUAAUGGCUGCUUUAAUACUCCCAACACGACGCUUAGAACAGUUGCUGACGACGUGGGCUAUGUUGUUCCCGAAUCACCAAUUCCAUAUGAAGGAUAUAACACGGAAGUAGCAGGAUUCCAAAGAGAAAAUGCUGGGAGUUAUGAUAAAGCAGUGCGACCAGGAAGAACCUUAAACGGAUUUUUGUAUCCUAUGGAGGGACGUGACUGUGAGGGAACUUUGAGACCAGCACAGCCGCCAAGGAUGAGGUUAGGAUUUAGUCACCAGCUGCUUUAAGGGAGAACGCGGUGCUAUUAUGCUUUCGUGGAACAUUGAGCGACUUUUUGUCUUUAGUCGUGAAUUCUAGCUAGUUAAGCAUAUAUAGGUACCGCAGUGUAGGUAAAAAGUUUUGGUUUGCUUUCAUUUGUGUUUGUCUUAAAAAUUAAGAAUUUCAGCAAUCUGUUGGUGUGUUGCAUGGUGCUGUCAAUCUCCUAUUUGCAAAGAACUCGAUCUGUUUCCUGUUGAUAGAACUAAAUUUAGGUUAACAUGCAAGAUCGAUGAACUCAUCAAUGCAUUCACCGCAAGGAAGAUACUCCUCCAUCGGUCAAUUAAGACUUGCAAAUUAUAGUAAUGCUACAAUUAAUAUACUUUUAUCAGUGUUAUUAUGUAAUAUAUGCUUAUGUGAGUAGUUGCUGCUGUGAGUUAGUGUAAUCUUUGUAUAUCUAAGACAAUAAUUUUAGAAUUGUUGUAAUUCUAUUGUCAUCAUAUCGUAAUCAGGUUUUAAUUUUAAAAAAAAAAUUGUGUCCCAAUGUGAUUACCUCUGCUGUAUGUUAACUUAUGCGGAAUGAUGCAUGCCUUAAUUAUGUUUGAGUUUUCAAAUUAUUUUAAUCAAACAUGUGCACUUGAUAAGAAUUGUCCUUAGUUUUAGAUUCGAUACACUAGCAAUCAUCAAGUAAUUGAUUAUCACAUAUAAUUUGGAAGUAGGAUCCAGUACAAUUGAUAAAUAGGACAAUCUCAAACACGUACUAAGGAGUUGUUUGUUUUUUGUUUAAAGUCUAAAUUUUACUUAUUUUCAGACAUUUAUUGUUUUUAAUUUAUUAGUUUUCUAUCACUUAUGUCUGGUUAUAAGAUGCUUACGUCUGAAUUAAAAAAGUUAAAUAUUUUAACUUUUAUCUAAAUGGUAAAACAUCUAAAUAUAACUUUAAUAUUCUCUCUUAUUAUUACCCCAUUUAAAUGAAUUUAUUUCCUAUUAUAUAGAUUAUUCUUUUAUUAUUUUUUUAAUUUAUCUUUUUUUUUUGGUUAUAUGUGCCUAUUCAACUUUUCCUUUGAAUGAGAAUUUUAACAUAAUAAUAUUGUUAGGUGAGUGCGUUUUAUAACAGAUCCAUCUUUUUAUAUUUAUAUUUACUGUUCUUAUAAUGGAUUUUGAAUUUUGUUAAAUACAUUAAUUUUAAUUCAAAUGAUUAAACAAUUCUUAAUUGACUUUUGUAAUUAAUAAGAAUAUAAACCUAAAAUACCAAAAAGAACAUUAUAAGUAUCAUAUAUUAAUGUAACAAAAUACAUAUGUUAUGUUGAAUUUAUAAAAUACUCAACCAUAGGAGUUCGGAAGGAAUCGUUUUCAUUUUAUAUAAUUAUCGCAUUUGUAACUUAGCCAGGAAGCUUUGUGUGUACUGAUUGCCUCUAGAUUGUAAAUUCAAUUGAUCUCGUCUUGGUUGAAGUAGAUGAUAGUAAAUAAUAUCUGAGUUUCAUUUCAGAUUCCAAAAACAAUCCUCCAUGUGAAUGGUUAAGUAGAGAUUCACAUUACUUUCUUUUUUCUUUAGAGGAAUGGCUGACUCCUUUGAUCAUGAAAUUAUAUCACGACUAUCACAAAAACUCGAGUAAUUCUAUUCAUAUAAUCAAAAUAGAGUUGAGUUCGAGCUCCUUCAUUUUAACUGAUUUAUUAUAAUGCAUAACCACAAAUGAUGAGAUGGUGUUGGAUAUGAUAAUGGGAAUUAGUUGUCAACGAGAAAAUUAAUUUCGGAAGAAUACAGUUAGUCGCAGAACUCUCCUAGUCCUUGGAAGUAAUUUAAAGGAAAGGUGUAUCAAUUUGUUUGUGUAGCUUACUGUGUGGUUAGAGAGUUUCGUGCUCUUGGUCUUUUGAGCUUUCUUACUCUUGAUUCUAUAGACCUGCGCCCAACAUUUAUCAAGGUUUGGUUUUCUUUAUUUUUUGCUCUUUUUGUGGCUUUUUUGUUUUUGUUCUCGUUUGUUUGUUUUUUUUUUGCGUUUAGGGCUCUUUGGCCAUAAAUUAUCACAAAAGACAAGUCUUCUCUGGUCUCCGGGAAGAGAAACGGAAAUUGCAAAAAGUUUUGAUGACUUUUUGUGCAAUCUCGGACCCAAUAAGGGACCAAAAAAAAGUUGAACACUUUUUGUUGUUUUCUAAUUGAGUUCUGUUAUUUGAACUGAGAGAAGAGAAGGAAGACAUAAAUGAUUUAAUUAACCAAUAAAAUAUGGGCCCACAAUAAGUUUAAAAAAGAGCACGUGAAUAGAGUUCUGUUCUUUUUUUUUUUUUUUCCUUGGACAAGGGUUUUAACUUUUAACGUGAGGAUCUAAAAUGGCAGAGCACUCUCUUCAAAUCAGAUGAGGUUGCUAACUCUGAAGAGAGUGCUAGUGCCUACCUCACUUAUUCAAUGACUAAUUUCAAUCGUUAGAUUUACCAACUUUUCAUCGAACGGCUCUUUAGAAUAAUGAUAAAAAAUAUGGAAAGGUAUCCCACUGAUUAAUGAAAACGGCAGAGCACUGGGCUGCCACAACAAUAAGUUUAAGAGGGCGCUGGGCACCACAGCAGAGCUUCCCCAAUGAAAGCUCGCCACUCAUUAAGCUACUCCAGAUAUACACGGCUGCAAAAACAAACAAAUCAACUUGCAAUAAAAUAAAUAUUAAAAUAAACUGAAAAAAGCUCAAAUGCCGACAAAUUCCACUUUGCUUCAAAAUUAACUUUAUAGUAAGUACGAAGAAUAAAAUAUAAACAAUCAACUUGCAAGUUGAAAAUUCUGCAUUCUUAAACCAAUGUUCAAACAGUCUAUGCAGAAGCAUCGAUCUGCUUUGUAAAUUAGACCUGCUGGCGUGAUAUGGCGGAGGCUGUGGUGAACUUUGCUCUAGAGACCUUGGGUCCUUUGCUUGUCGAAGAAAUCAGAUUGUGGGGAGGUGUUAGAAAAGAAGUUCAAAGUAUCAAAAGCGAACUGGAGAGUCUCAGAUCUUUCCUCAAGGACGCGGAUGCAAGGGCAGCAGUCGAAGAGUUAGAAGGAGGCGGUGAGGAAAGUGUCAGAACUUGGGUGAAACAACUGAGGGAUGAAGCUUAUCGCAUUGAAGAUGUGAUCGACGAGUACACACUCAUGGUGGCAAAGCUCCCUCCCGGGAGUGGUCUCGUUGGUGUUCUCCAUAGAAUCAGUCGUUUCAUAAAGAAGCUGAAGCUGCGGCGUGGAGUUGCUACUGAGAUUCAAGAUAUCAAAUCAGCGCUUGCUGAUAUAAAGGGAAGGGGAGAAAGAUAUCGAUUCAGAUCUAUUGAUGAACCAUCGAGCAGUGGAACCAGAAAUGUUAUCCCACAUGACUCUCGAGUUGGUUCCUUUUUCGUUGAAGAUGAUGAAGUUGUGGGCAUCGAAUCCAUUAAAGAUAAAUUGAUUGAUUUGAUGGUGAACGGAAGAUCCGAACGUUCAGUGGUUGCUGUGGUGGGUGAAGGAGGACUAGGUAAGACCACUCUUGCCGGAAAACUUUUUAACAAUGAAGGUUUAAAAACUCACUUCAGUAGCCGGGCUUGGGUCACCGUUGGGAAAGAAUACAACAAAAAUGAUUUGUUGAGGACAGUUAUAAAGGAGUUUCACAGUUUCUCAGGGCAGCCUACUCCAGUCGAGAUACACAAAAUGGAAGAGAUGGAGCUGAUCACCACGCUGAGGGGCCACUUGAAGGACAAGAAUUACGUGGUUGUGUUCGACGAUGUUUGGAAGAUUGAUUUUUUGGGAGACGUGGAGCAUGCUUUACUCGAUAACAAGAAAAGCAGCAGGAUAAUUGUCACAACACGGCACAUGAAUGUAGCUAAGUUUUGCAAAUCAUCUUCCCCUGUUCAGGUCCAUGAGCUUGAAACUUUGCAUCCGAAUGAAGCGUGGAAACUUUUUUGUAGAAAGGUGUUCGGACCAAGCUCCGGAGGCUCUUGUCCUUCAGAGUUGAGGGAGUUGUCCCAGGACAUCCUUGCAAAAUGUGGAGGUUUGCCUCUUGCUAUUGUGGCAGUAGGUGGACUUCUUUCAACCAAGAACAGGGUUGUAUCUGAAUGGAAGAAAUUGUUUGAUAGGUUGGGCUUAAUGUUAGGAAGCGAUCCCCAUCUAAAAGAUUGCAACCGAGUUUUAUCUGAAGGGUAUUAUGAUCUUCCUCACCAUCUCAAAUCAUGUCUUCUGUACUUUGGCUUAUUUUCAGAGAGCUGCAAAAUCAACUGUGCUAGACUCAUCCGUUUGUGGAUAGCUGAGGGCUUUGUCCAGUACAGCAAACGCCCCACAUCUGAACAGGUUGCAGAAGAAUACUUGAAUGAGCUCGUUGACAGAAGCUUGGUUCAAGUUUCAGAGAGAGAUAUUUCUGGACGAGCUAGAAUCUGCCAAGUUCAUGAUCUUAUGCACGAGAUCAUCAUCAGCAAAACUGAAGAAUUCGGCUUUGGUCGUGUGCUGAACGGAGAGGACUUGAGUCGCUGCAGUAAAACUCGACGCAUUACUAUGCAGAGAAGUAUUGAUGAUGGUGCUUUAGUGAGCAUCAAGGACUCGAAGGUCCGUUCUGUUUUUCUGUUCAAUAUAGAUAAGCUGCCCGACUCUUUCAUGAAUGCAAGUAUUGCCAAUUUCAAGCUCAUGAAAGUACUAGAUCUGGAAGAUGCUCCUAUAGUUUACCUUCCUGAAGGAGUGGGAAACUUACUCAAUUUACACUACUUGAGUUUGAGAAAUACAAAAGUAGAAAUAAUUCCCAAGUCCAUUGGAAAUCUUCUCAGUUUAGAGACUUUGAAUAUGAAAAAUACUUUGGUGAGAGAACUUCCAGUAGAGAUCAGGAAUCUUAAAAGGUUACGUUAUCUAAUGGUGUAUCAGUACAAUUAUACCGCAGGUUUUGCAGUAGCAGGAGAAGCAGCAGCGAAAUUACACGAGGGCUUUGGGUCUCUAACGAAUCUGCAGAAGUUGUGUAUUAUAGAAGCUGACUCUGAAGUAGGGAUGGCAGUGGGGUGGGGUGGGGGUGGGGAGGCCUGCCCCAUUCCCCACCCUAUUAGAAAUUUUUACCUCCAUUCCCCAUCUUAUUUCUCAAUAAAUUUAGUGGGGUGGGGAUGGAGAAUCUCCACGUGGGGAAUGAUUUCCCCAUCCCCACCCCAUUUCCCAUUUAUCUAUUUUAUAAUAUGUAUAAAUAUAUUAUUUUAGUAAGUUAAAAAUUAAAUAAAAUCAUCAUCAUAUUAUAAAGUAUUUAAAUUCUUUUUAAAAAAUAUCUAAAAGUUUGAAACAAUAUCUUAAAAUGAUAUUAAAAGUGAAAAAUAUUUAAAGAGUGUAGCACCUUAAAAGAUAAAAGAAAAUAUAACAAUGUUUCAGAGUUGAAAAAUAUUAUAGGAUUUUCUUUCAUUAAUAUCUUGUUUAUAUUGCAUAAAAAUUAAAAAAAAUUAUUAAUUAACAUUAUAAUUGAUAAAAUAAAAAUUAUUUAAUAAGAAUUAAAAACAUAUUUAUAUAUAAUGGGGAUUGAGGUGGGGGUGGGGUGGGGAGUACAAAACCAAACUCCACCCCAUUAAGAAUUUGGGGAUUAUUUUCCCCCACUCCCCACCCCAUUCCCCAAAAAUUGUGCAAAAUUUUUCCCAUUUGGGGUGGGGCUCCAAACCCGUGGAGGACUUUGCCAUCCCUACUCUGAAGCGCUCAAAGAGCUUAUGAAGCUAAGGCAGUUAAGAAAGUUGAGCAUUAGGCCCCAAAAUGGAAAUGGCAAGGAUCUGUGUGGUUUGAUUGCAAAUUUGAAAAACCUAGAGUCUUUAACGGUCGAAAUGACAAGCAAAGAAGAAAUACUUGACUUGCUGUCUUUGAGUAGUCCUCCUCAAUAUCUGCAGCGUCUCUACUUGACGGGGAAUAUGAAGAAACUGCCGGAUUGGAUUUUUAAACUUAAAAAUCUAAUCAGAUUGGGUUUGGAACUGUCGGGAUUGGCUGAGGAGCCAAUCAGAGUCCUUCAAGCCUCGCCCAAUUUGUUGGAAAUUUUACUCACAGGGACAUACGACUACGAGCUUUUUCACUUUGAAGCAGGUUGGUUUCCAAAACUCCAAAAGUUGCUUCUCUGGGACUUCAUCGCGGUGAAAUCGGUUAUAAUAGAGAAAGGUGCGGUGCCUGAUAUUAGAGAACUGCGGAUUGGGCCUUGCCCAUUGUUGAUGGAGAUUCCUAUUGGAAUUGAACAUCUUAAAAACCUUAAGCUACUCAAAUUUGCUGGUAUGGUUAAACAAGUUUAUUACAUGACAAAAGACGAGAACUGGGGGAAGGUUACUGGGCAUAUACCAGAUGUCCAUGUCAGUUUUGUGGAGGCCGGGAAAUGGUUUUAUUAUCGAAAAGAGGAUCUCUCAUCUCUGUCUCCUGAAUAUGUCGAGCAAAUCUACUGAAGAAGAGGACUCAAGUAGGGAGCAGUCAUGCACAUCUAUGAAAUAAGUAAACAGGUCUGCCACUGCGUAUUUGGAUUACUUUCUAUUUACUUUUAAGAAAAAAUAUUUUCUCAUUUUUAAUUUGACAGACAAUUUAAUUAUAUAUAAUUCAAAUAAAAUUUCACCAAAAAAAUUCCCUUUUCCCUGUAAUUUGAGUAUGUUAAAUAAAUAAAUAAAUGCAGUAUGUCAGUAAAUCUUUUUCUAGUUAAAUAUAUAGUUAGAAUCAUAUAAUGAUUAGGUAUUAAUGUUAGUAUAGUAAUUUCCGUUAUAUUUUUUGUUACCAUGGACAGAUGGAGUAUAUAUAUCUUGCUUCUAGCGAAUUCAUUGAUGAGUUCAUCGAUCAUAUACUGCAUCAGAUUGUGGCGGCAAUGCUACUAUUGAUAUGCUUUGAGUUUGAGUAAUUAUUAUUAGUGUUAUCAUGUAAUACAUGCUUAUGUGAGUGGUUGCUGCUGUGAGUGUGAGUGUAUUCUUCUAUUUAUCUAAGACUCAGAUUAUGAUUUUUGAAAUAUUGUAGUAUUGCAAGGAAUCGUCAUCAUAUAAUAUUUAAUGUUUAAUAAUAAAAACUGUGCCAAUGUGGCUAAUUUGUGUGGACUGAUGCAUUUGCCUUAAUUUUAAUCUGUAGCUUAUUGUUUUCGUCAUAAUAACUUAGCAAAAUAUUGUAUCACAUGCAUUUUCAUAUUCUCAAGUUUAAUUUCCUCAUCAUUUGCAUAAUUGUGCUUAUUAUUUUGCGACAUCUAUCUGGUUUAUUCUACAACUUUCGUUGGAUUUAUUUAUUUGAUUUAAGAAGUGAACUGGACAUGUAUGUGAAACCGUUAUUCUAAAAAUUAAAUGCAUAUUUAAGAUUGUGGUUAAUGAAUUUUCAAACAAUCGUUUAUUUAAAAAAAAAUUACUCAAUUAUUUUUGAGUUGUCAAAUUAUUUUAAGUAAACAUAUAUUAUUUUUGGACUGAAUACACUCACAAUCAUCAAAUAAUUGAUUUUCAAAUAUAAUUUGAGAAUAAAAUCCAUGUGGAUUGCAGACUUUUUGUAACACAGAGAAAGUCUAUAAUUGGGCUUUGGGAUUGGGGAAUUAAACUUACUAAGCCAUUCUAUUAUUCUUCGGGAACAAAAAAAAAAGUAAGUGCAAGUAGAUAGUGUUUGAAAUUGCUUUAAGUUGCUCAAUAAAUGGUCCUGAGGUGCGGAGGCUCGCUCCUUAUAAUCUAU
rnacentral:lncRNA from 1 species